AUUUUAUUAUAGAAUUAAAUGCUCAUGAGCUAUACAUCUUGAAGAAUGCUCAAAGUGAACAAUCCAAUACGUAGAACGACAGCAGGUGCUUAUCACUUGGUUCUUCCAUUUAACAACUGAUCAGUGCUUGUUGUCCAUAUGUGUCUUCUGGUAAACUAUUUCUUCUCCAUAGAGCACUGUUUUUGUGACAAAUCUUGUACACUACCUUGGAUGAAAGCGUAGUCCUGUCCUAUUAAGGCAUGCUUGUAAUAAUAUAUCUUGUGUAGAAUGUUUAUUCUGGGACAGUAAUGGGCACCCUGCACCGGCCUUGCUGUUGUUGAAUUCCAAUUCCCAUCAUCCCUUAGGAACUGCAGUCCAACAACGGCUUCGGGGCCACAAACUGAGAAACCUGCCGCAAACUAUAUAUGGCAUGGAGGAUGUAAAAAUAAUUUCAAUGCAUUUUAAUGAAGAUCUAAAACCAGACAUCCAGA